CGGCGGACGGGUGAGUAACGCGUGGGUAACCUGCCUCAUACAGGGGGAUAACAGUCAGAAAUGACUGCUAAUACCGCAUAAGACCACGGUACCGCAUGGUACAGUGGUAAAAACUCCGGUGGUAUGAGAUGGACCCGCGUCUGAUUAGGCAGUUGGUGGGGUAACGGCCUACCAAGCCGACGAUCAGUAGCCGACCUGAGAGGGUGACCGGCCACAUUGGGACUGAGACACGGCCCAG
rnacentral:rRNA from 1 species